rnacentral:misc_RNA from 2 species
AACGCACCUUGCGCCUUCUAGUUAUUCUGGAAAGCAUGCUUGUUUGAGUGUCGCGAACUUCUCAACCCCGCCUUUUGUAAUGAGAGGUAGCCUGGGCUUGAAUCAUGGUCUUUUGCCGUUUAUUCGGCUAGACUGAAAUGCAGUAAGCUGCAUGCACGAUUGUAACGGCUUGACCUGAUGUUGUAGUAUCUAUAAACUCAUCGGGGAUCGUUAUUGACAGUUGCAAAGAGCUUUAAACUUUGAAUUUUAAUAGUACAUAAUGACCUCAAAUCAAGUAGGACUACCCGCUGAACUUAA